CGGGGCGUAGCGUAGUGGCUAGCGCGUCUGCUUUGGGAGCAGAAGACCGUGGGUUCGAGUCCCUCCGCCCCGACCA
rnacentral:tRNA from 2 species